GACGAACGCUGGCGGCGUGCUUAACACAUGCAAGUCGAACGGACAGGCCCUGCUUUUGUGGGGUGCUCGAGUGGCGAACGGGUGAGUAACACGUGUGUAUCAUGCCCUUGUCUUUGGGAUAUCUCUAGGAAACUGGGGCUAUUACCGGAUAGGAGCUCCUGCUGCACGGUGGGGGUUGGAAAGUUUCGGCGGUUGGGGAUGGAUUAGAGGCUUAUCCGCUUGUUGGUGGAGUAGUGGCUUUCAAAGUUUUCGACGGAUAGCCGGCCUGGGAGGGGGACCGGCCACAUGGGGACUAAGAUAGGGCCCAGACUCCUACGGGAGGCAGCAGUGGAGAAUAUUGCACAAUGGGCGGAAGCCUGAUGCAGCAGCGCCGCGUGCGGGAUGACGGGCUUCGAGGGGAAAACCACUUUCUCCGGAAACGAAGCCUGAGUGACGGUAAUGGAUAAAAAAGCACCGGCUAACUACGUG
rnacentral:rRNA from 1 species